rnacentral:rRNA from 1 species
AGUCGAACGGAAAGGCCCUGCUUGCAGUGGUACUCGAGUGGCGAACGGGUGAGUAACACGUGGGUGAUCUGCCCUGCACUUCGGGAUAAGCUUGGGAGACUGGGUCUAAUACCGGAUAGGAGCCAUCUUUAGUGUGGUGGUUGGAAAGUUUUUUCGGUGUAGGAUGAGCUCGCGGCCUAUCAGCUUGUUGGUGGGGUAAUGGCCUACCAAGGCGGCGACGGGUAGCCGGCCUGAGAGGGUGUACGGCCACAUUGGGACUGAGAUACGGCCCAGACUCCUACGGGAGGCGGCAGUGGGGAAUAUUGCACAAUGGGCGCAAGCCUGAUGCAGCGACGCCGCGUGGGGGAUGAAGGCCUUCGGGUUGUAAACUCCUUUCGCUAGGGACGAAGCUUUGUUGUGACGGUACCUAGAUAAGAAGCACCGGCUAACUACGUGCCAGCAGCCGCGGUAAUACGUAGGGUGCGAGCGUUGUCCGGAAUUACUGGGCGUAACGGGCUCGUAGGUGGUUUGUCGCGUCGUCUGUGAAAUUCUGGGGCUUAACUCCGGGCGUGCAGGCGAUACGGGCAUAACUUGAGUGCUGUAGGGGUAACUGGAAUUCCUGGUGUAGCGGUGAAAUGCGCAGAUAUCAGGAGGAACACCGAUGGCGAAGGCAGGUUACUGGGCAGUUACUGAC